CUUGAUUUGUAUGUCAUUUGUUGCAAGUUAUGUUCUCUUGAUACAAUGUUGCCCAACUUUGUAACCCCAAGUAGCUAGAACUUGAGGUAACAUUGGUAUUCAAAGCCAUAUUUCUGUUCUUAUAUUGACUUACGUUUGAUUUGUUGGAUUGAUUGUGUGCAGGCAUCUAUUCCAGUUGCUGUUUUUAGUAUGCUAAUAGGAGUGGGGGCUGGUACAGUAAACAAGAACAGAAAGGCUUUUCUUUGGAGCAUGGUCUGAACAAAUGAUGGAGCAGGUUUUGUUAAACAAUAUUCUGAUCUCGCACUUGAUUCUCUCUACAUUGUAUCUUGAUGGCUAUCCAAAAAUAUUGUUAAAUAUAAUUUUCAUUUGCCCAAUCUUUCUUUUCAUGAACAGUACAUUCUGGUUGGUUGCGAAAUUCUGAGUUACAGAGCAGGUACACUACUAGGUAAACUUAUACGGAAAAGAUGAGAUGACAAAUUUGAAAUGGCUUAAGACCAAUGUAAUGUAGGAUCUUGAUAUAUUCCACAGCAAAGUUGCUCUCCUAAGGCCUGAGUCUCAGCUUCUCCCUUCGGCCGAGGCUGAAUUAUACAUCUUGGAUAUAAUUUUGAUGAACUACAGUGGCUACUGUAACUCUGUUCAUUCUCCAAAUUUCAUAUUUCCAAGACAUUGAAAUCUGUCAGACUCAUUUUUCUAAGGUACCUAAGAUCAAUGCAAAGGGCACUUGAUUCCCAAUACAUGUAGAUUUAUGAUUUUCAGUUUGCAUAAAAUUGACUUGUCCUCCAUCUGUUGAUGAGUGACUAAUUUGUUUUACGGUUUGUAGGUGGGUGGCCGAACAUGGGAAGUUGUCCUUUGUGAGGGAUCACAGAGGGAGUUUUGAGUUGCAAGACUUGCUUAGAGCCUCAGCUGAAGGGUUGGGCUGUGGAUCUUUUUGUGUCUUCUUACAAGGUUGUUCUGACUAUUGGGAAAGCAGUAGUUGUGAAGAGGUUCAGGCAUAUGUACAAAGUGGGCAAGGAAGAUUUUCAAGAGUAAAUGAGCACACUUGGGAAACUGAGAAAAACUUGGGCUCUGGUCCCUUGGUAGUGCAGGUAAUGGGGGAAAGCCUAUUGCUCAGAGCUAGAUGAUGAUUUUGAUCCAAGCAACUUCUGUUGGUGGUUGUUAUCACUCUUACACUCAUGGUCAUCUGUAUCCCACCACCACAGUCGAGAGUUGUUUAUGUAUAUCGCCUAUCCUGAUAUAAAUCUCCUCCAUCCUUCUCAUCUUCUUUCCUUUCAGGACAUCAAUGAAUGUAAUUGUCCACCAUGACUCUGUGAUCAGACAAUUGAAGCUGGUUUUGUUCCUACCAUGGAAGUCUUUUCCAAAGUUUUGGUCUGCAAA